rnacentral:rRNA from 1 species
AUACGUAGGGGGCGAGCGUUGUCCGGAAUGAUUGGGCGUAAAGGGCGCGUAGGCGGCCCGGUAAGUCUGGAGUGAAAGUCCUGUUUUUAAGAUGGGACUUGCUUUGGAUACUGUCGGGCUUGAGUGCAGGAGAGGUAAGUGGAAUUCCCAGUGUAGCGGUGAAAUGCGUAGAGAUUGGGAGGAACACCAGUGGCGAAGGCGACUUACUGGACUGUAACUGACGCUGAGGCGCGAAAGUGUGGGGAGCAAACAGGAUUAGAUACCCUGGUAGUCCACACUGCAAACGAUGAAUGCUAGGUGUAGGGGGUAUCGACCCCUUCUGUGCCGCAGUCAACACAAUAAGCAUUCCGCCUGGGGAGUACGGCCGCAAGGUUGAAACUCAAAUGAAUUGGCGGGG